AGAACCCAUCUGCAGAUACAUUGUCACCUGUAAUAUAGAGGCAUUGUAAUCCUCGAUCUGGCACGAAGAUGGUCGGGCUGCUACCCAGUUUUUCCUCUCCAUGUCUGACCUGGAUUCUGAUACAUGCCAGUUUCUGCGUAUGCGCAGGAUAUGUUCAACUGACGACUCCUUUGAGAAUCAAGCAAAAGACUUACACCAACGAUUCAAAGAGAGGGGAUAUAAAGAAGUGGAUAUCAUGAAAGGCUACAGUAGAGCUCAAGGGACAUCAAGAAACUCACAACUCAUACAAAAAAAGAAACACAAACGGGACAACCAGGGAAUUUUGGCGAAGAGUACGUGAACACAUCCUAGGUAUUGAAGCAACUAAGGAACAAACUGACAUCACAAGAUUGAAGACCCUGUUACGCAAUUUCUGCGAACACCACAAUUCGGAUGGCAGAAUGCUAAAGG